rnacentral:lncRNA from 1 species
AGGGAGCUGGUUCCAGGAAAGAAGGGCACAUGAGCAAACAUGAUGGCCCCUUUAUGAGAGAUGGAAUAAAAAGGCCUACCUCAUUGGGCUCGUGUGGGUGAGGAGAACUGAAGAGUCUGAGAGCGCGGCACGAGCCAGAGGCUACGGAAAACACUGCCCUCCUACACUCCACCUUGGAGAGACCCAGAAAAGAACAAGCUUCAUUUGUAAAAAAGGAAAACAACUCAGGCAAUGGGGGUGGCUUAAAGGCACUCUACAGUGUGCAGAUGCCUUCCACUUCUUCCAUCUGCCCUGUCUCUCCAAGAACCCCUAUGGCCCCGGUCUCAGAACAGAGCUGAGUGCAGAAAUGAAAAUCUAUGGCUCUGUGUUCCAAAACGAUGAAGAAUUUCAAGAUGGUGGCAGUGGUAAAAUCUUUCUCCAGGAAAAAUCUGUCCUUGGCCCAAUGUGUAAACACUUGCUGAGGAACUUGGAAUAACUUGCAGUGUCUUGCAGUAUUGUGAAACCAGCAACUUGUUCACAAUUCUUCUGAAUUUCUUGGGAAAUUUGAAGUGGAGUACCUGUACCAACAUGAAAUGACACGAAUUUAAGUGACGCUCAACAACGAAAAGCAAAAAGAACCAAAGAGGAAGCAACUGAAACAACAUCUGGAUGUAUUUAAAAAUAUACAAUGCCUCCAAAAUCAGGUGUCAUUAAUGAAAAUUCUGAAGAAAUGCCACCGGACAUAGCCAACGCACCUACGCUGUUGUUAUUCAUUUCCUGCUUUUCACAGAAAACAAUUUUGUUGCAUGGAAGAUCGUGAACUUCAAAGGGCAGAGGGGAAACUGUCCCUUGGCCUCUACCCCUCCAAGGCCCCACUUUUUUGUCAACACUCCUUGGACGCAGCAGAAGUAUGAACAUAAUAUGGUCCUGAAUGAGGCUGAGUCUUUGGGCGCAGAAGACCCGGGUUAAUAAAAAUAGGAAGGUAAGAAAAGAAAAGAAAAAUCAAGACACAUCAUAGGACUAAAUUCCUAUUAUUUAUCCACUCAGGAUUGACCACCCCUUUGGGCCAGAUAGUUGUACCCCCAUGUACCAGGUGGGCACAUGAAGACACAAGAAGUGCUGUGAUGGUUCAUUUUGCACGUCACCUUGCGUGGAGUAUGCCAACUCAUUGUUUGGUCAAACACUAGUCUGGACAUGGUGGUAAAGGUAUUUUUUAGAUGAGAUUAACACUUAAAUCAGUAAAGCAGGUUACCCACCAUACUACGGGUGGGCCCUGUCCAAUCAGUUGAAGGCAUUAAGAACAAAGAUUGAGGUUUCCUAAAGAAGAUGGAAUUCUCCUUGAGACUACAACAUAGAAACCCUAUCUGAGUUUCCAGCCUGUUGCCCUGUGGAAUUCAAACUCAGGACUCCGGUCUAUGACAUUAACCCUCACUUAACUUUUCAGCCUGCCAGCCUGCCCUAUGGAUUUCGGACUUGCCAGCCACACAAUUCCUUAAAAUAAAUCUCUCCGUCUCUGU